UACGUAGGUGACCAGCGUUGUCCGGAUUUACUGGGCGUAAAGAGCGCGCAGGCGGUCGUUCAAGUCGAGUGUGAAAGCCCCCGGCUCAACUGGGGAGGGUCAUUCGAUACUGAUCGACUGGAAGGCAGGAGAGGGAAGCGGAAUUCCCGGUGUAGUGGUGAAAUGCGCAGAUAUCGGGAGGAACACCAGUAGCGAAGGCGGCACUCUGGGCCGGUACUGACGCUGAGGAGCGAAAGCGUGGGGAGCAAACAGG
rnacentral:rRNA from 1 species